UACGGAGGGUGCAAGCGUUAUCCGGAUUCACUGGGUUUAAAGGGUGCGUAGGUGGCUAUUUAAGUCAGUGGUGAAAGCCCGCGGCUCAACCGUGGAAUUGCCAUUGAAACUGAGUAGCUUGAGUACAGUUGAAGUGGGCGGAAUACAUCAUGUAGCGGUGAAAUGCUUAGAUAUGAUGUAGAACACCGAUUGCGAAGGCAGCUCACUAAGCUGUAACUGACACUGAGGCACGAAAGCGUGGGGAGCAAACGGG
rnacentral:rRNA from 1 species